rnacentral:lncRNA from 1 species
CAUAUAUUAGAUUGUUCUACUCUAUAUUCUCCCAUUAUCAUUUUACCUUUAAUAUUGUUCUUAUUCAAUUCUACCAUCUUUCCUAUUUACACUUACCCAUCUAUCUAGGUUAAGUUAGAGCGUAGAUCAGUUCUCCCGUUUCCUUGUGGAUACGAUAAAACCUUUAACCGGGUAAAAGCUACAACGGUAUCCGUGCGCUUGCGGAUUUAUCUAUGUGUGUAUAAAUACCAUAGUACACUCUAGUGCCA